AGAAUUCCCCGAACUCGCCCGUCUGAGACAAAGGGCCCGCGACUCAAACAGAGCAUUUGGACUAUAUCACUCUAACUCUGCAGCAAGCUUUCCUGAAGUGGAGUUGGAAAUAGCAUUUCAGUAAAUGUCCUUUACUCACUACUUAUUCAGGACACACUCUGUUGACUGCUAGAACUUUUCAUGGGACAUAAUUUUGGGAAGUGGGACAUUAGGAGAAGUGAGCUGUCCUCUCCUGACAAGAGAUGUGCUUGGCAGGCUGUGAGUACACGAGGAGUUAAAAGAGUAAAAAGGUGAUCGUCUCAGUGGACUAACUUCCAAUACUACAUUGACUAAAUGUGGGAAAAGUGGAGAAAACUCAUUGUGUUCCUGAUAUUAGAAGAAAAGCUUUCAGUCUUUCACCGUUGAGUAUGACAAUCAGCUCUGAGAAUUUCCAUAUAUAGCCUUUAUUUUGUUGGGGUAGUUUAUUCUCCUUUUAGUUAUUUGGUAUUUCAAUCAUGAAAAGGUGCUAGGUGCUGAAUUUUGUGAAACUGAAUGUUCUGCAUUCACUGACAUGAUAUGAUUUAUACCUUUCAAUCUGCUCAUGUGUUGUAUUACAUUGAUAUUUGUAUGUUGAACCAUAACUAUAUUUGCCUUCCAGGAAUAAAACAGUUUGGUCAUUAAGUGUAAUCCUUUUAAUAUGCUGCUGGAUCUUGCUGGUAUUUUGCUGGUGGAUUCUUGCAUCAGUAUUCAUAAGGGAUAUUGGUGUAUAAUUUUAUUGAAAUGUCUUUUUCUGGUUUGGCAUCAGGGUAAUACUGACCUUACAGAAGGAUCAAAGAAGUGUUCUCUCUUCUUGCAUUUUUGGGAAGAGAUUGAGUAGCUAUGGUGUUAAAUGUUCCUUAAAUGUGUUGAAGCAUUUGCCAGUGAAGCCAUCUGGUCCUGGGCUUUUCUACAUUGGGAGGUUUUGGAUUACUGAUUCAAUCUCCUUACUAGUUAGAGGUCUACUCAGAUUUUUUGUCUUCAUAAUUCAGAUUUGGUAAAGUGUAUGCUUUAAGGAAUUUGUCUAUUUCAUCUAGUUAUACAAAUUCUUGGCAUACAAUUGUAUACUCUAUUAUAAUCAUCUUUAUUUCUGUAAAAAUCAUCUUGUUUCUGAUUUAGUUUCUUGAACCUUCUCUCUUCAUUUUUUAUUCAAUCUCACUGAAGUUUUCAUAAUUUUCUUAUGAAAAUAACCAAUUCUUGGUUUCGUUGAUUUUCCUGGUUUUUCUAUUCUCUAUGUAUCAUUGCUUUAAUGUUCAUUAUUUCCCUCCUUCCACUAGCUUUCUUAUUCAGAUUCUUUUUUUGUAGUUCAUGAAUGUAAAAUAGGGUUGUGAAUUUGAGAUAUUUCUUCUUUUUUAAUAUAACUAUUUACAGGUACAAAUUUCACACCUAUUACUGCUUUUUUUCUCAUCCCACCAGUUUUGACACAUUGCUUUUAUUUUCAGCUCUCUCCAGAUAUUGCUAAUUUUACUUUUAAUUUAGUCUGACAUGUAGAUUAUUUAAGAAUGUGUUGUUUCAUUCCCACAUACUUGUGAAUUUUCCACUUUUCAUGCUGCUAUUGAUUUCCAGGUUUUUUUUGGCUAGGUUAUAAUUGGAAAAAAAUAUUUCCUAUGGUACUAAAGUUUUAAAUUUAUUAAGAUUUAAUAAAUUUAGUUUAAUUAGUUCCCACGUGUCAACUUUAGUUUUAUGGCAUAAUAUAUGGCCUGCCCUGGAGAGUGUUGCAUGUACAAAUAAGAAAAUGUGUAUUCUGUUGUUGUUGUAUGAGGUAUUCCGCAUAUGUCUUUUAGGUCCAAUUGGUAUGUAGGGUUUUUCAAGUUCUUUAUUUCAUUAUUAUCUUCUGUCUGGUCUUCUUAUCUAUUUGCAAGUGAGGUAUGCAAUGUCAUUCCUCACAGAAUUAUAAAAAACUAUUCUAAAAUUCAUAUGGAGUUGACUCCUUAGUGGAGUAGGCAGAACAUCAGUCUCAUAAAAUUCAUAUGGAACCAAAAAAAGAGCCUGAAUAACCAAAGUAAUCCUCACCAAAAAGAAUAAAGCUAGAGGCAUCACACUACUAAACUUCUGAUUACUGUAAAGCUACAGUAACCAAAACAGUAUGGUACUGGCACAAAUACAGACAUAUAAACCAAUGAAACAAAAUAGAAAACUCAGAAAUAAAGCCACACACCUACAACUAUCUGAUCUUUGACAAAGGCAACAAAAACAAGCAACAAGGAAAGGACUCUCUAUUCAAUAAAUGGUGCUGGGAUAACUGGCUAGCCAUAUGCAGAAGAAUGAAACUAGACCCUUACCUUUCACUAUACCCAAAAAUUAACACAAGAUGGAUUCAAGAUUUAAGUAUAAGACCCCAAACUACAAAAAUCCUACAAGAAAAAUACAGAAAAUACCCUUUUCGACAUCAGCAUUGGAAAGAAUUUUUGGCUAAGUCCCCAAAAGCAGUUACAAGAAGAGUAAAAGUUGACAAGUGGGAACUAAUUAAACUAAAGAGCUUCUGCACAGCAAAAGAAACUGUAACAGAUAGCCUAAAGCAUGGAGAAGAUAUUCACAAACUAAGCAUCCAACAAAGGUCUAAUAUCCAGAAUCUAUACGGAACUGAAACAAAUCAACAAGCAAAAACCAAAUAACACCAUUAAAAAAUAGGUAAAGGACAUGAACAGACAGUUCCCAAAAGAAGCAAUACAUACAGCCAACAAACAUAUGAAAAUAUGCUCAUCAUCUCUAACCAUUUUAGACAACUGUAAAUCAAAACCACAAUGAGACAGCAUCUCACAGCAGUCAGAAUGGCUAUUAAAGAAGUCAAAAAACAACAGCUGGCAAGGCUUAGAGAACAGGGAAUGCUUAUACACAGUUGAUAGGAAUGUAAAUUAGUUCAGCCACUUUAAAAAGCAGUUUGGAGAUUUCUCUAAGAACUUAAAAUGGAACUACAAUUCAACCCAGCAAUCCUAUUACUGGCUAUAUACCCAAAGAAAAAUAGAUUAUUAUACCGAAAGACACAUGCACUUGUAUGUUAAGCACCAUGGAAUGCUAUGCAACCAUAAAAAAAGAAUUGAAAUCAUGUCGUUUUCAGUAACGUGGAUGGAGGUGGAGGACAUAAUCCUAAGUGAAUUAACAUAGGAACAGAAAACCAAAUACUGUAUGUUCUCACUUAUAAGUGGGAGCUAAACAUUGAUCACACAUGGACAUAAACAUGUGAACAAUAGUCACUGUGAACUAGUAGAGGGGAAAAGUAGGGUGUGGCGCAUGUGUUGAAAAACUACCUAUUGGAUACUAUGCUCACUAUCUUGGUGCAAUAUACCCAUGUAACAAACCUGCACAUAUACCCACUGUAUCUAAAAUAAAAGUACAAAUUUUAAAAAAGAAA